AAAAAUAUAGCUUUCAUUUGUUGAGAAGACGAAGAUGUUUAUGGAAUACUCUCGCGUACGUUAGCAGUGGAUUGCGUUGACCUUUAGAUGAUGGAUGAAUGGAUGAAAUUUGGGGGAGCUUUCCAAAGUUGAUUUGAAAGUCGGAUUUGGAAUAUUUACCUUUAUUUUUGGACUGGAACAAGGAAUUAAAGAGGAAUAUUCGAAAUGGCGAUUUACGGCGAUGAACGAGAAUACAUUCCAAUAUUGCAAAUGAUGACGACGCGCGACAAAAAUCGAAGAUGGGCUUCCAGUGCCACGGAUAUUACGGAUGUUGUGGACAGAACAGUCUUGAAAAUAGGAGGUAAGCGGUUUCUUUCUCAUAUUAUUUGUAAUUCCUUAUGUAUAUGCGGAAUUGCUCGUUUACAAGGUUAUCGGUAAUAAGUUGUGGUGAACAUGGGAUUUGCGGCGUGUAAUGCAAUUGUUAUGUUGUGUACCUUUUGUUCACGGUUGAAUACACGCGUUGAAUAGCAGGUUGUGUGUUCAAAGCCGCCCAACCCGAAAAGUUCCCAAGCAUAUCGAGUUUCAACAAGGGAGAUUUAGGGGUGAUAUUCAUCUUUUGAUCCCCAUUGACAGCAAUUAAUGACGUGAGGAGCUUGUAUAAUGCGAAACCUUACAAGACGUGAGUUGUGCUACGAAUGAGGUGAAAAGAGGAAGUUGCACCUCCUUGACUGACUUGAAUUCAGCGGUACUUGUUCACUCAUCGCUCGACUAUCGGCGGGGAGAGAUUAGGCAAACCUACCGCUGAGAGCUCGCAGCGUGCAAUGCCAUUCACAGCAGACGACGAGAUUCAAUGUGCUGAAACGUGCGCUUUUCUUUUCAGCUCCAUUUAGCGUGCAGUUGUGUAGGCGUGCAUUGCAGCUAGCGGAAUAUUGUGUGCAGGCUUCGAGACUCUGAACAAAUACAACAAAAUAGUUUGUCCUGAAGUUGAGCACACCUCUUUUCUUUGUACAAAUCUUAUUGUACAUGCUCUUGGCUGCCUUUUCUGCAAAUGAAUAAACUUAUCAGACUACAUCAGAGAAGAACCAUUGGAGCUGGAAUCAUGAUUUGAAUAGGGUUAACAAUUUGGCACCAAAGUUGUGAAGUUCUUUCAACUUUAACUUCAAGCUGGUUCUAGAUCUUGAUUUUAGAUCGAGGACUACUUGAAAAAGUCGAAGAAUGGCAGAAAAAAGUGAUGACAGCGAGAAGGGUGGCAUUUAUGAGCGGUCUCUGAGAAGUAACAAAGAUGAAAGGGACAAAAUUCAAAAGAAGACCUUCACUAAAUGGGUCAACAAACAUCUGAAAAAGGUAAGUCGAUUCUUCGCUUGUUUCUUCCACUCGAGGGAGACUAUUCUCUGCCUCUCAAGUUUAAUGUGGCCCUCGGGAGCCUGAGGAUAUCAAUGUUUUAUGUUUUCUUUGUCAACCCUUCCAAUGUGUGUAUAAAAACCCAACCCUCUUUUUGACGUUUGCCGAAAGGAAGGGAGUGAUGAUCUUUCUAUGGCUUCACAAAGAGAGGUGUGCGUGGGAUGAUUCUCGUUUUCAUGAUAGAAAUUGAGCAGUUCACCAAGAUGAUAAGGUCUUUAACUGUUAUCAAUCUUCUACAACCUGAAGUGGUUGUUAAAUUUUACAGGUGAUCUACAGAUGCAAUAUAUAUGUUGUAUGGGUAUCCUUGUGGUUAACCUAUUGCCUAUAGGAACUGGAUGGCUUCUGUUUUAAAGGCAUCGUUUAACAAUGUUAAAUCUGAGAUGCACGGCCUUACGUGCUACCAGCGUUAGUGACAUGGUGUCAUAUUGAAGCCCUAAAAAAAAUUGCGCUUCAAAAUGAUUCAAGAAGUGCCUCAAAAAGUAAAAA
rnacentral:lncRNA from 15 species